UACGUAGGGUGCUAGCGUUGUUCGGAAUCAUUGGGCGUAAAGGGUGCGCAGGCGGCGGUUCGCGUGGAUAGAUGAAAUCUCCUGGCUUACCUGGGAGGAUGGUAUCCAGACGGGAUCGCUUGAGGGUCGGAGAGGGGCGUGGAAUUCCGGGUGGAGCGGUGAAAUGCGUAGAGAUCCGGAGGAACACCGACGGCGUAGGCAGCGCCCUGGACGACACCUGACGCUGAGGCACGAAAGCUGGGGGAGCGAACAGG
rnacentral:rRNA from 1 species